rnacentral:rRNA from 1 species
AUUGGACGCUGGCGGCAGGCCUAACACAUGCAAGUCGAGCGGUAGAGAGGUGCUUGCAUCUCUUGAGAGCGGCGGACGGGUGAGGUAAUGCCUAGGAAUCUGCCUAGUGGUGGGGGAUAACGGUUCGGAAACGGACGCUAAUACCGCAUACGUCCUACGGGAGAAAGCGGGGGAUCUUCGGACCUCGCGCCAUUAGAUGAGCCUAGGUCGGAUUAGCUAGUUGGUGAGGUAAUGGCUCACCAAGGCGACGAUCCGUAACUGGUCUGAGAGGAUGAUCAGUCACACUGGAACUGAGACACGGUCCAGACUCCUACGGGAGGCAGCAGUGGGGAAUAUUGGACAAUGGGCGAAAGCCUGAUCCAGCCAUGCCGCGUGUGUGAAGAAGGUCUUCGGAUUGUAAAGCACUUUAAGUUGGGAGGAAGGGUAGUAACCUAAUACGUU